GUGGGGAAUAUUGGACAAUGGGCGAAAGCCUGAUCCAGCCAUGCCGCGUGUGUGAAGAAGGUCUUCGGAUUGUAAAGCACUUUAAGUUGGGAGGAAGGGCAGUAAGUUAAUACCUUGCUGUUUUGACGUUACCGACAGAAUAAGCACCGGCUAACUUCGUGCCAGCAGCCGCGGUAAUACGAAGGGUGCAAGCGUUAAUCGGAAUUACUGGGCGUAAAGCGCGCGUAGGUGGUUUUGUAAGUUGGAGGUGAAAUCCCCGGGCUCAACCUGGGAACUGCCUCCAAAACUGCAUGACUAGAGUACGGUGGAGGGUAGUGGAAUUUCCUGUGUAGCGGUGAAAUGCGUAGAUAUAGGAAGGAACACCAGUGGCGAAGGCGACUACCUGGACUGAUACUGACACUGAGGUGCGAAAGCGUGGGGAGCAAACAGGAUUAGAUACCCCUGUAGUCC
rnacentral:rRNA from 1 species